rnacentral:rRNA from 1 species
UAUUAGUAGAGAAGCGUGUGAGCCAGCUGCCAAGAAAAGCCGCUAUUGCUUCAUAAGUACCCGUACCGUAAACCGACACAGGUGGAUGAGGAGAGAAUCCUAAGGCCGGCGGGAGAAGUGUUGUUAAGGAACUCGGCAAAAUGACUCCGUAACUUCGGGAGAAGGAGUGCCACAGAGAUGUGGCCGCAGAGAAAUGGCCCAAGCAACUGUUUAGCAAAAACACAGGUCUAUGCAAAACCGAAAGGUGAGGUAUAUGGGCUGACGCCUGCCCGGUGCUGGAAGGUUAAGAGGAGAGGUUAGAGCAAUCGAAGCUUUGAAUUUAAGCCCCAGUAAACGGCGGCCGUAACCAUAACGGUCCUAAGGUAGCGAAAUUCCUUGUCGGGUAAGUUCCGACCCGCACGAAAGGCGUAAUGAUUUGGGCACUGUCUCAACAACACACCCGGUGAAAUUGAAAUACCAGUGAAGAUGCUGGUUACCUGCGCCAGGACGGAAAGACCCCAUGGAGCUUUACUCCAGUUUGAUACUGGGAUUCGGUACUGUCUGUACAGGAUAGGUGGGAGGCUAGGAAAUGGUGACGCCAGUUGCCAUGGAGCCAACCUUGGGAUACCACCCUUACAGUACUGGGUUUCUAACCUGCAGCCGUGACCCGGCUGGGGGACAAUGUCUGACGGGGAGUUUGACUGGGGCGGUCGCCUCCGAAAGAGUAUCGGAGGCGCUCAAAGGUUCCCUCAGAACGGUUGGAAACCGUUCGAAGAGUGCAAAGGCAGAAGGGAGCUUGACUGCGACACCGACGGGUGGAGCAGAUACGAAAGUAGGACUUAGUGAUCCGGUGGUAUAAAGUGGGAUUGCCAUCGCUCAACGGAUAAAAGCUACCCUGGGAUAACAGGCUUAUCACUCCCAAGAGUUCACAUCGACGGAGUGGUUUGGCACCUCGAUGUCGGCUCAUCGCAUCCUGGAGCUGUAGCAGGUUCCAAGGGUUGGGCUGUUCGCCCAUUAAAGCGGUACGCGAGCUGGGUUCAGAACGUCGUGAGACAGUUCGGUCCCUAUCCGGCGUGGGCGUAGGAUAUUUGAGAGGAGCUGUCCUUAGUACGAGAGGACCGGGAUGGACAAACCUCUGGUGUAUCUGUUGUUUUACCAAAGGCAUGGCAGAGUAGCCAAGUUUGGCAGGGAUAAACGCUGAAGGCAUCUAAGCGUGAAGCCCCCCUCAAGAUAAGAUAUCCCAUCUUCGGAGUAAGACCCCUUGAAGACUACAAGGUUGAUAGGCUUCAGGUGUAAGUGUGGUAACGCACUCAGCUGAGAAGUACUAAUAGGUCGAGGACUUACC